AAGUGCGAAAUGUAAUGCGAUUUGCAUGAAUCUGUGAGUCAUCUAAUCUUUGAACGCAACUUGCGCCCUCCAGCGAUGGAUGGCAUGUCUGUUUGAGUACGACAACCAACUGUGCCUUUUUGGUGCGAGGUGGCCUGCGUGCGCGUGGCGUGCAGCGGGCUGAAAAGGAGCCAGUCAGGCUGGGCAGUCUGGCAGUGUGCUAGAGACCAAGGGCAUGCGUGCGGGGACUGCGGAAUGUGGAGAGGUGCGGAUGGUGGACCAUCGUCUGCGCUGAUCUGCACUCUGCCCGCCGCGUUCGCAUGUCGCUGUCUUGUCGCUGCCGGCACCAACCAGCUCACACUACAUCUUCCGUCUCAAAUCAGGCAAGACGACCCGCUGAACUUAA
rnacentral:misc_RNA from 1 species